CCGCUGAAGUUAGCAGCACAUUUUGCAGCAGCACAUUCCUCACUUCAAAUUGAUUAAAUUUUUGUGGUCGAAGCCUUAUAACAAGGGUGGGGCUGGAUUAGAACUCGGGUGGAGCUGGUUGCUGCGCUCGAGCGAUCAUAAUUACUGUUUAUACCGAUAGAUUAUAAGAUGUUCUUUUAUAGGACAAAAAGAGCAAGUCAAGAGAACACUUAAGCUACGUUAAAGAAUUAAUACAAAAGGACUAUCAGGCACCAUAGUAUCUAUGCAGGCACUUGACCAUAAGUGCAAGAUGAAGAUUGUUUACAUCACAUAUCUGAUAUCAUGAAUUGUGACAUUUUAAGCAUCAUUAUUUUAUUAUUAUUACUAUAUAAUGUUUUACAACACACAGGACAAGUGGAAGGGA